GUAGGUGGCAAGCGUUGUCCGGAAUUAUUGGGCGUAAAGCGCGCGCAGGCGGUUCUUUAAGUCUGAUGUGAAAGCCCACGGCUCAACCGUGGAGGGUCAUUGGAAACUGGAGAACUUGAGUACAGAAGAGGAAAGCGGAAUUCCACGUGUAGCGGUGAAAUGCGUAGAGAUGUGGAGGAACACCAGUGGCGAAGGCGGCUUUCUGGUCUGUAACUGACGCUGAGGCGCGAAAGCGUGGGGUAGCAAACAGGAUUAGAUACCCGUGGUAGUCCACGCCGUAAACGAUGAGUGCUAAGUGUUAGGGGGUUUCCGCCCCUUAGUGCUGCAGCUAACGCAUUAACGCACGUCCGGCCGUGGGAGUACGGCCGCAAGGCUG
rnacentral:rRNA from 1 species